rnacentral:rRNA from 1 species
UGGGGAAUUUUGGACAAUGGGCGAAAGCCUGAUCCAGCAAUGCCGCGUGUGUGAAGAAGGCCUUCGGGUUGUAAAGCACUUUUGUCCGGAAAGAAAUCCUUGGCUCUAAUACAGUCGGGGGAUGACGGUACCGGAAGAAUAAGCACCGGCUAACUACGUGCCAGCAGCCGCGGUAAUACGUAGGGUGCAAGCGUUAAUCGGAAUUACUGGGCGUAAAGCGUGCGCAGGCGGUUUGCUAAGACCGAUGUGAAAUCCCCGGGCUCAACCUGGGAACUGCAUUGGUGACUGGCAGGCUAGAGUAUGGCAGAGGGGGGUAGAAUUCCACGUGUAGCAGUGAAAUGCGUAGAGAUGUGGAGGAAUACCGAUGGCGAAGACAGCCCCCUGGGCCAAUACUGACGCUCAUGCACGAAAGCGUGGGGAGCAAACAGGAUUAGAUACCCUGGUAGUCCACGCCCUAAACGAUGUCAACUAGUUGUUGGGGAUUCAUUUCCUUAGUAACGUAGCUAACGCGUGAAGUUGACCGCCUGGGGAGUACGGUCGCAAGAUUAAAACUUAAAUGAAUUGACGGGGUCAUAGCUGUUUCCU